rnacentral:rRNA from 1 species
UGGGGAAUAUUGCACAAUGGGGGAAACCCUGAUGCAGCGACGCCGCGUGAGCGAAGAAGGCUUUCGAGUCGUAAAGCUCUGUCCUAUGAGAAGAUAAUGACGGUAUCAUAGGAGGAAGCCCUGGCUAAAUACGUGCCAGCAGCCGCGGUAAUACGUAUGGGGCGAGCGUUGUCCGGAAUUAUUGGGCGUAAAGGGUACGUAGGCGGUUUUUUAAGUCAGGUGUCAAAGCGUGGAGCUUAACUCCAUUAAGCACUUGAAACUGAUAGACUUGAGUGAAGGAGAGGAAAGUGGAAUUCCUAGUGUAGCGGUGAAAUGCGUAGAUAUUAGGAGGAAUACCGGUGGCGAAGGCGACUUUCUGGACUUUUACUGACGCUCAGGUACGAAAGCGUGGGGAGCAAACAGG